GGAUGUUUAAUGGGGAUGUGGAGAUUCAUUGUACUGUUUCUAUAUUUUUGUGGAUGUUGAAAAAUAUUUUCUUCUUUCUUUUUUUUUUUUGAGAUGGAGUCUCCCUCUAUUGCCCAGGCUGGAGUGCAGUUGUGCAAUCUCUGUUCACUGCAACCUCCGCCUCCCGGGUUCAAGUGGUUCUCCUGCCUCAGCCUCCCAAGUAGCUGGGACUACAGGCAUGUGCCACCAUGCCUGGCUAACUUUUGCAUCUUUAGUAGAGAUGGGGUUUUACCAUGUUGGCCAGGCUGGUAUCGAACUCCUGACCUUGUGAUCCGCCCACCUUGGCUUCCCAAAGUACUGGAAUUACAGGCAUAAGCCACCACACCCGGCCGAAAAAUAUAUUUAAAAAGGUAAGAAACACACAAGACAAGCAGCUUGGACUUAUCUUCUCCAUGAUACCUACCCAGUAUCCCUGUGAGCAGCUGACAUUCCUUUCUCCAAGCAGUUGCUGUAUUUUGAACAUUGCUCGAGCAAGAAACUUUUUAUAAUGGGUUUAUUUAUCCAUGUCACCUGCUAUACUAUGUUUAUUGUAGCUCAGCAUGAUUUCCAGGUACCAAGCACAGUACUUGGUGCGUAAUAGUGCUAACUGAAUGUUGGAUGGAUGGAGGGAUUAAAAAAAAGAAAAACACCUGAAUAUCAGACACUUAAUAAAUGUUUCUUGGGAGGCCGAGAUGGGCGGAUCACGAGGUCAGAAGUUCGAGACCAGCCUGGCCAACAUGGUAAAACGCCGUCUCUACUAAAAAUACAAAAAUUAGCUAGGUGUGGUGGCAGGCACCUGUAAUCCCCACUGCUCAGGAGGCUGAGGCAGGAGAAUCACUUGAGCCCGGGAGGCAGAGGUUGCAGUGAGCCGAGAUCACGCCAUUGCACUCCAGCCUGGGUGACAGAGCAAGACUCUGUCUCAAAAAAAAUAAAAAAUAAAAUAAAUAAAUGUUUUCUGAACUGUAUUCUCUAUCUGUUCUUAGUUAAUUUGUGUUUGCCAUUUUUAAAGUCAAAAACCAGGGAGAGUUCUCUACACAAUGUAAAUAUUUGAUAAGUACUUAUUAAUUGCUUAUUGUGCUAGUCUAUUCUUUAAAUAUCAGAGGUUCCAAAACAAAGAGCUCCAAUAGUAGGAUCACAGUCAGGUAACCAAUUAUCCGAGUAGGAAGGUUGCCUUAGUUGAAGUAACUGGAGGUGAAUGGGGAUUUGUCAGGCAGGCUCUUCCAGAUAAAGGUGAACCUUCCCUGUUGUUUUGAUAGAAGGAGGAAAUGGAAUGACCAUCAAGAGAAAGGUAGUUGCUGGCUUGAGAGGAUCAUCUGUGCAACAGGCAGCUAAGCAGAAGAAGACUUUAUAUAUAUUUUUAAUACCACCCACACUGUUGCUAGUAUUCCCCACCACUCCAUUGGCCUGGUGAACUCUUAUUCAUCCUUCAAAACCCAGCUUAACCAUGGCCUUCAGGAAAUCUUGAGCUGGCUUCCCAGGACAGAGUGGGUCAGUCCUCUGCAUGCUCCUGCUGCUGUGCUGUACUCACCAUACUGUACUGUAAUUUACUGGUUUGUAAGUCAUUUCCACUGCUGGGUUGUGAGCUCCUCCAAGGCAGGGGCUUUGCCUUAUCUGCCUAUGUUCCCAGGACUUACACAGUGCCUGAUGUGUAGUAGGUACCCCAUGAAUGUUUUACAUAAUUAGCAGGAGCGUAUCAGGUAAAUUAGCAAAGCAAACUGUGGGAUGUGGGAUGUCAGACAAUAGGAGUAGGUGGGCUUAUGGGAGCUGAAGAGCACAUGCUCCUCAGCUCUGAUUGAUUGCUCUGUGCGAUAGGGGCCCAGUGGUGGUGGAUCUAACAACUUUUUAAGAGAUUCUGACAAUUCAGACUUUACAUGUUGAAUAUUCCGGAUUUUCAACAUUAGCAACUAAUUCCAUUUGGAGGAAAAAAUGUAGCAUGGGUCUACAGACAAGAUCUGGCUGUAAUUCAUGUUCAGAGGUAAUCAGGAAACGAUUAGUUUACUGAAAAUGUAGUCGACAAUCAAAUGGCUGCUAGGUUGCCAAUAAAAUGUGUUGAGUGGAAUUCACAUGCCCCAGAAAGCUCCUCCUGGUGCUGUGGGCAAGGAAGAGGGCCCAAGUGUGGGAAGAAGGAUUCAGGAGGCAGAGCCAACUCUCCCAGUGCUGCCGGAGCCACUCUUGCUUGAGCUGAAGUACUGUGGACUGUUUUGCAGCCUUCUUGAUAUUGCUCAAACUGAGCCACCCUUGAUAUUGUGCCUAUCAGAAUGAUGGAUUAAAUGUUAUUGUUUCCUUAUAUUCCAUAGGCAUCAGAUAUCAACUGUCAUUGUGAAACAUAUUACAAUGUAAGAGAUUUGAUAUUGUCCUAACAGCUUUAGUCUCUGGUGGCUUUACUGAGCUCUUCUGGUUUAGAGGUGAAACAACCCAGAGAAAGGAUUUAUUUAUGUAUUCGUUUUUGGUCUGAAGACCAAAAAGGAUGUUUGCAAGAUAUUAACAGUAAUCAUUCAUUCAACAACUGUUUUUAAAGCACCUGCUGUACGAUACCUGCUACAGAUACAGUGAUGGUGAAAGUAUAGUUGUCUCAGUGUUAUUAUAGAAGCUUUUACUCUGUAUUUUCCUCGAUUUCUAUUUUCUGUACUGAUCAUGCAUAAUUUUUUACAAUCAUUAAAAAAACAAGAAAGCAA
rnacentral:lncRNA from 10 species